GAUGGUGAAGUCAUGACCCGCCUUACUCUGCCUCUGAUUGGCUUAACCUGAUAUUCUUACCCUAACCCUACCCAAUCUCACUCUUCAUAUCUACACCUAACCAAUCAAAACAACGAAGGCAACGAUUACUAGCCAAUCAGAAGCAGAGUAGGGCGGGUCAUGAGGGAAAAAAAAUGGCUUACGGGGGUGCUUUACUAUAAGCUGGUACCCAGUUUUGUUUACGUGUGCCAGAGCGCCCCUUAGUGUGUCUUUACACAUUUACACCGUGUUUUCAUUUUUUUUUUGUUAAAAGCCACAUCGGUGCUGCUCAUCCUCCGCCUAAAAAUAACAAAGAAAACACAUAACGCGACGAUAUAACGUUAGGCUUAUAACAUUAACGUUGCCGGCGCAGUACAGCGUGAUGUUAGCUAGCUGCACACUAAAGGUACGGCUAGAAUGGUAUCAAAGCGGAGUAGAUCUGUUGUCAGCUGCCGUUUACUGUUUAAGCUACAUAAAAGGAUGACAGGUGAAACAUCUUGAAGAAUUUAAAACAAGUCCAGUUGCCCUUGACUAAGCUCCUCUGGAUAUACCAUGACCUGGAUGACUAAGAAUCUUCACAUACAUAUAAAUAAAUGUGGAUCAGCUACAAUAAGAAUAUAUUUCUUUAAUGUAUUCUUUUUUUCUUAAGCAAUUUGUUAGUUUGUUAUUAUAGUCAGACCUACUGAAGCAGUGCAAUUGUGAGAAACAACAAGCACCACGGGUUUGCUUAAUAUUUUCUUUAAUAGUCACCUGUUAGGUUUUGAAUGAUUUGUAAUGUGUAACCUAUGCAGAGGGUCUGGUGGUUACAAUUUAGAAAUUUCUUUUAUCUUUCUUUUGCCUGUAAAUCAUUCUGAAGAAACCAGCCUUUUCCCUUGGGAAUCAUUAUUACUUGACAUAGAAGGAAAUGGUGUAACUAUUAACCAUUAAUGAUUACUCUGUUCCAUUAAGCCUUUUCAAUUAAAGACAGUACCAAAGUCCU